rnacentral:rRNA from 1 species
AUUGAACGCUGGCGGCAGGCUUAACACAUGCAAGUCGAGCGGAGCGAGGGUGCUUGCACCUUAGCUUAGCGGCGGACGGGUGAGUAAUGCUUAGGAAUCUGCCUAUUAGUGGGGGACAACAUUCCGAAAGGAAUGCUAAUACCGCAUACGCCCUACGGGGGAAAGCAGGGGAUCUUCGGACCUUGCGCUAAUAGAUGAGCCUAAGUCGGAUUAGCUAGUUGGUGGGGUAACGGCCUACCAAGGCGACGAUCUGUAGCGGGUCUGAGAGGAUGAUCCGCCACACUGGGAGUGAGACAGGGCCCAGACUGCUACGGGAGGCAGCAGUGGGGAAUAUUGGACAAUGGGCGGAAGCCUGAUCCAGCCAUGCCGCGUGUGUGAAGAAGGCCUGUUGGUUGUAAAGCACUUUAAGCGAGGAGGAGGCUACUUAGAUUAAUACUCUGGGAUAGUGGACGUUACUCGCAGAAUAAGCACCGGCUAACUCUGUGCCAGCAGCCGCGGUAA